AAACCUUUACAAAGUUUCUUGAAUCACAAGGAAUGAAACUUCUAAAUGCAGCGGAAAUGUAAAGUUGACUACGUAAACAGUUAAGUCGACUUAAUGUAAAAGUGUAAGGAUAGAGAAAUCAAACGCAGAGUUUUUACACUGGUUCGGCUUCAAUGACUACAUCCAAUGUCCUUCCACAAUUCGGAAGCAAAUGCCUUAUAAUGGUCAAGGUUUUUACAACAAAGCUUUUAUAAAGACCUUCACGCCAAAA
rnacentral:lncRNA from 1 species